rnacentral:rRNA from 1 species
UACGUAGGGUGCGAGCGUUGUCCGGAAUUACUGGGCGUAAAGAGCUCGUAGGUGGUUUGUCGCGUUUGUUCGUGAAAACCGGGGGCUUAACCCUCGGCGUGCGGGCGAUACGGGCAGACUUGAGUACUGCAGGGGGAGACUGGAAUUCCUGGGUGUAGCGGUGGAAUGCGCAGAUAUCAGGAGGAACACCGGUGGCGAAGGCGGUUCUCUGGGCCUUACCUGACGCUGGAGGAGCGAAAAGCGUGGGGGAGCGAACAGG